GUGCGGUAAAAUUCGUGAGGUGG
rnacentral:piRNA from 1 species